rnacentral:lncRNA from 1 species
GGAUUUGUGAAGGGAACUUGAUUUCUCCUGCUCUCCUAAAGCUAUCGUUCACCGUCAAAACUGCAAAUGACGAUGAAACGAGAAGACGAUAGUAGAACACUAAUUUUGGUCAUCUUACUCGCCGUGCUCAUUUAUUCUGGCUCGGUUCACUCCUGCGACUUUGCAAGCUCUCCCUCGCCUUCACCGGUGAGUUGUUCCAACACUCUUCACUAAUCAAACAUCAAAACAUGUUUCUCAAACAACAACAAAAACAUGGCUCUUUGCUCUUCAUUGUCUUGGAGAAAAUAUGACUACUCGUUUCUUUAUCUGUAGGCCAUUGCGAUUCCAUGACCGUCUGAGCCAUAGGCAUUUGCCGCAUUUACAAAAAGAAAAGCAGAGGGUCUUUCCCUGCGACUUGUUACUCAAAAUGUAAUCAGUUGGAGGCUUGGAGCCAUACAUGCCAGUUCAAGUCUCAGUCCGGGCAAUGGAUUUGGAAGAAAACGAGUACUAUCCACUGGUAUGGAAAUGUGUUUGUGGUGAAUGGUGAUAAUAUAUUUCCCCUUAGUUUAACUUUUAGUAUUACUGUUAUGCGGUGAGAAGUUGUCAUCUCACAAUAACAGUGAUGUAAGAAGUUUUCAUUGAUUUCCAAAAA